CCUGAUCUACAUCAGAGGAGCUUCCUUCAUUUGCUGUGUGAUCACAGAGUGUAGUCCUACCCUGUGACUAACAAUGUCUUUUUUGGACACACUGCGCCAGUGGGACGAUGCUAUAACGUGUGUGGACAGAAGCGAUUUGACUGAAGCACUCAGAAUAUUCUUGGACAUCCAAGAGCCAAACUCCAAAAUUUGUUUCAACAUCGGUUGCCUCCAGCUUCUCAACCAAAACCUGGAUGCUGCUGAAAAGGCCUUUGACUGCAGCAUAUGCAAGGACGAGCAUUUGGCGGUCGCCUUCUUUCAAAGAGGAAUCACCUUUUACAAACAGAACCGGUAUGAGGAAAGUGUUGGCGAUUUCCACCUUGCCUUCAAGGCUCUGCGGGGCAACCAGCUGAUAGAUUACAAAGCGCUUGGGCUCAGAUACAAGUUAUAUGCAUGUGAGGUCCUGCACAACAUGGCCCUGGCGGAGGCUCACUUGGGUCAGUGGGAAAAGGCCCAGAAGAACCUUGCGAAGGCUCUCGAAUACAAGACGGACGCCAAGCUCAGCAUCAUCGACAGAGCCAUGCAGUCAACCCUGAAACAAAAACUUUUUAAAGCAGUCGAGUUCCCAUCCGCUGUGCUGUUUCGACCGAACAAGCACUAUGUUGCUGAACUGGAGAAAAAGGACUACUUGGGAAAAGCCAAGGUGGUUGCUUCCGUUGUUCCCCAGGAUCACUUCUCUGGAUUUGCCCCUUUACAGCCACAUGUUGAACAAGAACCUUCAGGUCCAAAGGAGCCUGAGGUUCUAAGAGCUUUGGAAGGAGACCCUCACAUUGUGCGCUAUGAGUUUAUUCCCGAGACGAGUGAUGAGCUGGCGGUUGUCCCUGGCAACAUUGUUUUUGUCCUGCAGAAAGGUUCGGACAACUGGGCUUCAGUUCUUUUCAAUGGAAGAAAAGGCCUUGUUCCUUACAAUUACCUGGAACAUUUGGAGAUGUCCUUGGGUGGUCAGCAGAAGAACCAACUAAUAGAACCUCCAAGUCGGGUACCACCAACCAGGCCCGAAAGAAAACAAGGUCUUCUUCGUGGGGAAAGCAGCAGUCAAGACUUCCAACAGAGGGAAGCCCAGACUGCGGACAACUUGUGUAUUGUCAAAGUGUAUUACAAAUUCAACUUUGCAGUGUCACUAGCAAGUGGCUCCACUUACAAGACACUGAUCGAAAAGAUCAGUAAAAAACUCAACCGCUCUCCCUCGUCAGUCACACUGAGCUUAGCGUCAGAUGCAACAAGUGCCUUGAAUGACAAUACAGAUAUGGAGAGUAUUUGGAGCGCUCAAAACAAGCACAUCACAUUGUGGUGUCAUACUAAAGAACAACCUGCAGAAAAUCCGCAGAACAAUGAGACUGUUCUGGUGGCACUUCACUCCUAUGAGUCAACAAAUCCCGAGGACCUUGGUUUCAAUCAGGGGGAUAAAAUCACAUUCAUCUCUAAAAUUAACCAGGACUGGUUGGAAGGACAUUCUAACGGGAACACUGGCAUCUUUCCUGCUUCCUUUGUGGAGAAAGUGAAUGACCAAUGAUGCUUGCAAAUGUAAAUGGGCAACUUCAGGGGCAGGAUGCUUAAAAGAUAGAGUCACUGAUAAUUUAAACCACUUCGAAGAAAUGUCAUACAUGUUGCCACUAAGCUCCUUCUUCUUCAUAGGCGAUAGCGAUGCCCCUCCUGCCCUCCACGGCUUUCUCCACGGGCGUCUCCCCCAACUUCUGCUCCAAGCCGCGCCAGCUCCGACUCGCCAAAAACGAUGCUGAAAAAUAGAGUGAACACUUCAGUGUGCUUUCACUUUGUACAGUAAGAUUGUGACAAUAAACACAGGACAAAAACAUCAA